rnacentral:rRNA from 2 species
UGGGGAAUCUUGCGCAAUGCGCGAAAGCGUGACGCAGCAACGCCGCGUGGGGGAAGAAGGCCUUCGGGUUGUAAACCCCUUUCAGGAGGGACGAAGCCCGGGCGGUUAAUAGCCGACUCGGGUGACGGUACCUCCAGAAGAAGCCCCGGCUAACUACGUGCCAGCAGCCGCGGUAAUACGUAGGGGGCAAGCGUUGUCCGGAAUCAUUGGGCGUAAAGCGCGUGUAGGCGGUCCGGUAAGUCGGCUGUGAAAGUCCAGGGCUCAACCCUGGGAUGCCGGUCGAUACUGCCGGACUAGAGUUCGGAAGAGGCGAGUGGAAUUCCCGGUGUAGCGGUGAAAUGCGCAGAUAUCGGGAGGAACACCAAUGGCGAAGGCAGCUCGCUGGGACGUUACUGACGCUGAGACGCGAAAGCGUGGGGAGCAAACAGG